AUUUUAUUUUAUUUUUUAAUGCCGUUUUCGUUUACCUAUAGAGACGACAUGUCGUCUCUAUAGGGUUUUACCGUAACAAAAACCCUUUCAGUCUUCAUUUUCCAGUCCGCUGCCCAGACAUUUUCCUCUCAAUUGCUUCGCCGAUCCCAGUCGGCUGCCCAACAAAGGUUUUCUCCCCCUUUCUCUUUUGGAUUUCGACUCUUUGGAUGUCCGGUUUUUUCUUCUAUACCAGGAACUUGUAAUCUCUAUUCCUUUCCCAGGUUCUACUCAUCUGUAAUCUCAAUCCCCAUCAUCAAUCGUCUUCUUCUUCAAAUCGGUACUACACUUCUGCUAGGCUUGCUCGAUUCUUCACAUCUCUUCCUUCCGACACAUCCAUGGCUUCUGACAAGUCAACACCGCCGCUUACUAUCGACUCCCUCAACCCAAAGGUCUUGAAAUGUGAGUAUGUUGUACGUGGUGAAAUUGUCUCUCUAGCUCAGGUAAUGUAAUGAACUGGAUUCACUAAAAAACCUUAUUAAAUAAGCAUGUCAGGGAUGUAUAUAUCGGGGAAAUAAUUAAUAAUGAGUAUAUUUAUAGAAAACUUUCCAUCUUUUUAAUCAAUAUAUGCAUUCAAGUAUACUAAUUUGCAUAUAUAAAACUUACAAUGCUGAUUUCAUCGAACGAGCAUGGCAGAUUCUUGAUCAAACUCCUGGUAGAGCUACUGGUGCAUAUAGACAUAUAGUCACAGGGGUAAAACAGGAAGUGCAGUUUAAGGGUUUAAGGAAAUGCACUGUAUCUUUUUUGAAAACGUUUUGGAUACAAGAAAGAUAAUAGAGCAAUGCAUAAUGAUUUUUCAGGUUCCUUAUUAUCUUGAUUAAGCAACAUGGUAGGGAGUUGAGGUCUUUGAGCUCAACUGCUAGACAAAAGGGUAUUACUCUGAGAGCCCUUUUUUUCAUUAAUCCAGGAAACCCAAAUGGCCAGGUUCUUGCUGAAGAGAACAACGAGACAUUGUUGAGUUCUGCAAGAAAGAAGGUCAGGUUCUUCUAGUAGCUGAGGUUUAUCAGGAAAACAUUUAUGUCCCUGAAAAGCAGUUUUGCUCUUUUAAGAAAGUUGCUCGUUCAAUUGGAUAUGGUGACAAGGAUAUUCCCUGGGUUUAUUUUCAGUCAGUGUCUAAAGGUAUUGUCUCUUUGUGAAUAUGAAAUAGUAUUGAUGAUAUGAAGAGAAGGGUGCAAAGGUCAGUUAGUUAAUUCAAUUGUUAAUUUGUUUGCAAUUCUUAGUUUCUUGAUAAUUCUUAAUUUCUUUUUCCUUCACAUAUUGAAACUACAGACAUUGCUGACUUGUUAAAUUCCACUUGUUGCUGUUUUAAGAUCAAGUUUUUUUUUUUUAAUAUAUUUAGUUUAUAUCUUGAACUCCUAUUGCUUUUAUAAGUUUGUUUAAAUGGCAUAUGUAUAAAAUAAAGAAAUUUAAUAUUCAAAAAACCGGGUACCCGGAACCGGAACCGGUCUUGGCGGUUCCGGGAGCGGUUCCAAAUUUCUAGGAACCGCUGUAAGCGGUUCUGGUUCCAAAACCAAUAAUUUCAGAACUGUCGGUUCUGGGAGUGGUUCCGGUUCCAGCUAAAAUAGGCGGGUAUCCGGUUAUGGUCAUCCCUAGUCAAUACCAUGUUUCAGUUGUUCUUUGGAAUGGAAUCUUGCUGGUCUUCCGGAUGAUGAAGCAGCAAAAUACUUUGAGAACAAGAUCCGAAGUAAUCAUAAUAAUCGGCUAAGAAGGACUUGCAGAAGGAAGCCAUGUUCCUAAGUGUCAGCCUUUUGGACAAUUAGCAAUAAUAAAUGCAAAUGGGUUAAAAAAAAGCAACCCUUUGGAGGAUUUAGUCAGCAUCCCUUUGGUCACUUUUAUUUCUGUAUGAAUUUUGUAGUUCAUAAUAACACUACAAUAGUCAAAUGUUGUAAUUCAACUGAAGAAUUUCUUUUAAUUGUAAAAUCAAAUUAAAUUAAUGGUAUGUUAUGAAUGAUAUGUUUAUUAAGUGUUUUUUGGAUUUUAA